CCCUCAAUAUAUAUAAGAACCAUUCCUCCUAUCUACAUGUUAAAACAACCUCAGACAGAAACCUCAAACAGAAAUGUUUUUGUGCGGAAAGAAAAUCCAAGGAGUAGUGGAAAUCCAAAGAGUAGUGGGAGGAUUAAAAAUUAAUGUAAGCACAAGUGCUACAGUUGACAUCUAUAUCUAUGAUUGUUUAUAUAAAUUAUUCUCCAGGGUGGUUCACAGAAUAAGGGGGUGGAUCACUAAAGAAGGAAGUAUGAAGAAUUGAUGAGAAGAGAACGGGUAUGUUGAAAGAAGGGAUGAGGAGAUAUAUUAUAUGUUGGAAGAAGAAGGGAUGAGAAGAUAUUAGAGCAGGUUGGAAGAAGGGAUGAGAAGAUAGAGAAGGUUGGAAGAAGAAGGGAUGAGAAGAUAGAGCAGGUUGAAAGAAAAAAUAAAGAAAUCAAGAAGAUAAAGGUGAAAAAAUGAAAAGUGUAAAAGAUUUGGGACCAAAAUUGAAUAAGUUUCUUCGGUUGUAAAAGAUUAAUAAUACUUUUUUAUUU